rnacentral:rRNA from 1 species
AGAGUUUGAUCAUGGCUCAGAACGAACGCUGGCGGCAGGCCUAACACAUGCAAGUCGAGCGCCCAGCAAUGGGAGCGGCGGACGGGUGAGUAACGCGUGGGAAUAUGCCUUUCGGUUCGGAACAACUCAGGGAAACUUGAGCUAAUUCCGGAUACGCCCUUACGGGGAAAGAUUUAUCGCCGAAAGAUUAGCCCGCGUUGGAUUAGCUUGUUGGUGAGGUAACGGCUCACCAAGGCAACGAUCCAUAGCUGGUUUGAGAGAACGACCAGCCACACUGGGACUGAGACACGGCCCAGACUCCUACGGGAGGCAGCAGUGGGGAAUCUUGGACAAUGGAGGAAACUCUGAUCCAGCCAUGCCGCGUGAGUGAUGAAGGCCUUCGGGUUGUAAAACUCUUUUACCCGGGAAGAUAAUGACUGUACCGGGAGAAUAAGCUCCGGCUAACUUCGUGCCAGCAGCCGCGGUAAUACGAAGGGGGCUAGCGUUGUUCGGAAUUACUGGGCGUAAAGCGCGCGCAGGCGGCUUCUCAAGUCAGGGGUGAAAGCCCAGAGCUCAACUCUGGAAUUGCCUUUGAAACUGUGAAGCUUGAGUACGGGAGAGGUGAGUGGAAUUCCCAGUGUAGAGGUGAAAUUCGUAGAUAUUGGGAAGAACACCGGUGGCGAAAGCGGCUCACUGGCCCGUUUCUGACGCUCACGCGCGACAGCGUGGGGAUCAAACAGGAUUAGAUACCCUGGUAGUCCACGCCGUAAACUAUGAACGCUAGCCGUUGGCGGGCUUGCUCGUCAGUGGCGCAGCUAACGCAUUAAGCGUUCCGCCUGGGGAGUACGGCCGCAAGGUUGAAACUCAAAGAAAUGACGGGGGCCCGCACAGCGGUGGAGCAUGUGUUUAAUUCGACGCAACGCGCAGAACCUUACCAGGGUUUGAC